GCCGUCGUAGGCCAUGGUGACCGCCCUCCAAAUAUAUAAGAAGUAUUUUCGAAACCUCAUGAGGGAGGCGGGGGUUCGAUUCCUCCCGACGGCA